rnacentral:rRNA from 1 species
UACGAAGGGGGGCUAGCGUUGCUCGGAAUCACUGGGCGUAAAGGGUGCGUAGGCGGGUCUUUAAGUCAGGGGUGAAAUCCUGGAGCUCAACUCCAGAACUGCCUUUGAUACUGAAGAUCUUGAGUUCGGGAGAGGUGAGUGGAACUCCGAGUGUAGAGGUGAAAUUCGUAGAUAUUCGGAAGAACACCAGUGGCGAAGGCGGCUCACUGGUCCGGUACUGACGCUGAGGUGCGAAAGCGUGGGGAGCAAACAGG